CUCCUGCAGUACGUUCCUUCCCGCUUUCUCGACGCUGUCUGCGUUGCAACCUCGCCUUUGAGAAGGAUGAUACCUUGCUUUCUAAGUACAGGUCUCAUGUUUGCUUAAGACGGUGGACGCAUUGCAAAUGGCGGCAGGAGAGGAUCGGCUGCAUCGGUGAAGCGACGAUGUACAUUACAAGCGAGGUUAAUUGUAUUCUUUCGUUAUAGGUGACCGCGGGACUGUAUCGAUUGCGAGGAGGUUGUUUCCUGUCUCAACGGUCACACAUACGCGUGAAAGAUUGCAACUGCUUCUCACAUGGAAUUGGGGUCUGUUACCACUUGUUGGACAAUUGUUCCUCGGCCAUUUCGUUUGAGGAACCGUCAUGUUCGUCACUAAGGAUCUUCAUUGAGCUUUCAGUGCCAGCCUGUUCGAAGUUUCGAGGAUUGUGUGUUCGGCGUUUAGUGGACUGCCUGGUGCAUCGGAUCAUCGGAUGGGUUGUGUGUCCGUGCAACGUGUGCUCCAUACGAAAUUGCAAAAUUCCCAUAUCGGACCCCCCUCCUGGGAACAAGGCGAACCGGAAGUCGCGCGUACGCUAGUAAUAAAUUGCGCCGUAAUUUGCAAAUU